UACGGAGGGAGCUAGCGUUGUUCGGAAUUACUGGGCGUAAAGCGCGCGUAGGCGGACCUGCAAGUCGGGGGUGAAAGCCCGAGGCUCAACCGUGGAACUGCUUGAUAUACUGGGUGUCUUGAGCCAUCUAGGGGCUACCGGAACAAAUGGUGGAGCGGUGAAAUGCGUAGAUAUCAUUUGGAACGCCAAUGGUGAAAACAGGUAGCUGGGGAUGUGCUGACGCUGAGACACGAAAGCCAGGGGAGCAAACGGG
rnacentral:rRNA from 1 species